AUAAUAAUAGACAAAAGUCUUGUAUCACUCAAGGAUGAAAUAUCACGGGAUUAAACUAUUGAAGCUGGAUUUUUAACCACUAAACAAAUAUUUGAAGACGUAAUCCGUUAAAACACUGGAUUAAAAGAGAAUUAGGACAAAUUCAAUUCAAUUUUAUCGAAGAAUCAGCAGAUUAGACUGUUGUUUAUCCACCACGUUUAUAAAAGAGAUUCUGCUCUCGAUACCUCAGUAGAUAUCGCAAUGAAAGUGCCAGUACUGAUAGUACUAGCCCUCGUGGGCUUGUCUAGUGCCAAAUACGAGGGCUCAACAAUCUUGAGUUUAGCAUUGAAAUCGAAAAUGUUGGAACCGCCAUUCAGGCUGAAAAACACUACCACAAAUCGAGACAAGCUUUAGGUUUGGGAAAAAUUACUUACGCCACGUUGAGAUUAAUGCUUAUUUGGCCCAACUGGCUAAAGACUACCCCGAAACUGUCACUCUAGAAACAAUCGGACAGUCGUACGAAAAACAUUCCCCGACUACAAUCCGAUCUAUUCUUACAGCAUCUCCUCUUUCACGACAGCUUAUACCGUUUAUAGGUAUGUGUCUAUCGAGGAGAAUCAUCGGCACGACCAUCAAUCCUGAAUACCCCGAAAUAUUGUGGAUUUCAUUUCCUGAUCAAGCUGGUUUGGGUAACUGAACCGUUAAAACCCAUCAGACCGGCUUCCAAUUAUUAAAGUCCAAUAUCAAAAAGGAGUCUUUGCAUUUCUACUAAAACAAUAUAAACUUUGUAAUUCAUGUUUUAUUAUAACUAUAUAUAAAUAGCUACUUUAAAUUUAAACAAAAACUGAACCGGUUUCUCUGGUAUGUUAAGAGACAAGAAUUGCUUUUUCGCAACAACUGUUAAUGAAACGUUCACCCAUAGAAUUAACAGCUAUCUCAAUGCGAUCUUCUAGCGAUGACUUUCUAGCGUCAACUUGCAGAUCAUCCAGAACGUGAAUAACAUCCUCGCGUCGCAGGCACAUCACAGAUCCUUUGUUGUCAGAAUCCACAUGCAUUGCCAUAACAAAAGAAAGAGAAGGAGAUUUCUUACGUUCAUCAAAAUACUUCUUAUUUGUGAAAACAUUGUAGUACCGCUUUUGAAAGAUUUCUUUAAAUGCGUCUUGUACAGUAUUUGGAUCACAUUUUAAUUCCAUUAUUAUCCCAGAUUUAUCAUUAAACAGUACUAUAUCAACUUUGGUUCUAUGAUUUGGAAUUAUUAUUUCGUUUCCGAAGAGAAAUCCUGCUUGACUACAUGUCAAUGUAAUUAUACUCUGUAAAGUUGCCUCAUUCAAUGGAUCGAUAAGUGUUGAACGUUGAAGUAGACAGGUUAUACUAUUUUGAAAAUUUGCUAAUUCUUCUUUGAACAUUGCUAAUGAAUCACCUUCAUCACAGAGAAUGGUUAGCUCAGAAAAUGAUGCUGAACAAGCUUUAGCCAAUUCACUGUUAAUACCAAAUCUUUCAAAAAAAUAAUCUCGUAGCAGCUCCAUAAUUUCAUCAAUUAGCUCAGCGUUAGGUAUUUGGAGUUUGCGAUCAUGAAAUGAAUAUGUUAAGUAUCCUAGAGAUACAAGAAAUCGAACAACUAUUUCUUCGCGACAAGUCAAAUUUUGAUUAACUAAUAUGUUAUGCAAAGAUUUCAGAUCUCUUAAGUCUAACGGUCUUAACUUGAAUUGAAAAUCUUCUUUAACACCUUGUAGAAGUUCAUACAACAACGUUCUCACGCUACCCUCUUCAAAUAGUUUAUACAUAUUGUGAAUGUAACCAGAUUCUUGCCAAUAAUUUUUUAAAGCACCUUCUCCCAGAGAUAAAUUUCCCAAGAACUGCACAAUCGAUUGAGGAUUAUAUAGGCAUUGUUUCGAGCCAUUGAAAUACCCAUUAUAUUUAGCCUUCGCUUUUUCUCUCAA